UGUCCGUGGAGGAGUCAGCUUUCUUUCUCUUGGCCGGAUUGUCAGAAGGCUCCAUGACGCACCGCAGGUAGUACUCGUCGAUAAAGUUUUCUAGGGACUCCACUCUGGCGGUAUUACAAUGUUUUAAUUUAGCCUCUUCGACUGCGAGUGGAGACCGCGGAUCUCUGUUGAUGUUAUCCUCUAAAGUCUUGAUUUAAUCGGUUUAAUCGUGCAGCGUUAUGCCGCCAUGUAACAAUUCAAAACCUCACCCGUCUCGUGAGAUCACAGCAUCUCGCGAUUCCUCACAGCAUCGGAUUUAACACUCUAGAUUCAAAACUAUGCCUUGUUCAGACCUCCCUGGCUGAUCAUGCAACCAGCACUGCCAACCUAGAGGGAUAUGCGACCGACCCGUAUCACGGAGCUGGAGCAGUGCAGAGCUUCCUGGACUCAAGGGUCAGGAAGCCCAACGUGGGUGCUCCACCUCUCAUCGCUCACAACCUUCCCCUCCCCUCCUCAGAGAUGGAAUACAAUGAACCACCCUCAAUCUCCGCCAGAGUCAGUCACCACUCAUCUAGAGCUGCAACGAAUACUCGAGUAAUUCGACCACAAAACAAAUUUCGUUUGAGCGGUCACUAGCGUUCCGCCCCGGGGUCGGUUUCUACACGGACUGUAAACGAUGACGAACGCGACGCUGGAGUCAAAAAGUUGGCGCUAUGGAGGACAGCGAAGAGAGCGUCCGAUAGAGACACUUUGUGCAGUGUGUACUGCCAAACUGUUCACCACAGCAGCACUUCAUCGAUGCUUCAACAUCUUAACAGAACGCAUCCGUUUGUGAAGCCAGCACAAGUACAUCAUCUGAGCAGCGGAUGGACAGCUGUGUGUCCUUUGAAGGGUGAGCCUUAGUGCUGCACAUGUGGACAUGCUGACAUUUCUUCAUUACAGUCAUCACUUGCUCUUUUAAAGGCUUGACCUCUCUCUCACUCACUCCCUGACUAUCUGACAUAGGAGAUGUCCUAUCUGAGUUGAAUGUCUGUCACAUCUUAAAUUGGAAACUUUUGUUUGUUUUGACUCUGUUAUUAUCAUUUUUAUUUGAAAGAAUUGUUCCUGAAGAGGAAAGGGCAACAUUAAGGUCAAAUGGGCUUCACUUGUAGCUUACUUGUUGUAUUCUUGUUGUUUAUUCUUCACUGAAACGUUCAUGUGUUGUGGACAUGGUUAGGCCCAAAACUUCAUAAGUUGUAUUUAGUUAUUUGUUUUCAUUGAAAUGUUCAUGUGUUAUUGGUAAAAUGGACAAAGUUAAGCCCAAGACUUCAUAAGUUGUAUUACUGUUAAUUAUACUUUAUUCUUUACUAAAAAGAAUUAUUAUAUUUUCAGAAAUAAAAGCCAAUUGUUUGGUUUUA